UCUCCCCUGUAUUUGCAUGGCGUUACACAUAUACAAGAUACAACCAUAACUGUAUGAACAUCUACAUACAUAAACCACAUCACAAUUACCAUUCAUUUCAUCACAUAUAUUCACAUCCAUAUCUAUUAUUUUAAAAAUGUUUCUUACCCGGAAACUCAUUUCAUGACCAAAUGUAACGACGCAGUCCACUAGCAACAAUAUUUCGUUGGGCCCAAAUGCCGGCCCAAAAUGCUUAAACUCAGUUAUUAUUAUUAGUGUCUAAGUCUCUUAUAUACCCAAUCACAUCCCCAUUCCUAUCCAAUGUAGGAUUAUUGAGGUGUGACAUACACCCCCCGUUAAGGCCCUGACGUCCUCGUCAGUCCAAUC
rnacentral:lncRNA from 1 species